rnacentral:rRNA from 1 species
GAUGAACGCUGGCGGCGUGCCUAAUACAUGCAAGUCGAGCGAACGGACGAGAAGCUUGCUUUUCUGAUGUUAGCGGCGGACGGGUGUGUAACACGUGGAUAACCUACCUAUAAGACUGGGAUAACUUCGGGAAACCGGAGCUAAUACCGGAUAAUAUUUUGAACCGUAUGGUUCAAAAGUGAAAGACGGUCUUGCUGUCACGUAUAGAUGGAUCCGCGCUGCAUUAGCUAGUUGGUAAGGUAACGGCUUACCAAGGCAACGAUGCAUAGCCGACCUGAGAGGGUGAUCGGCCACACUGGAACUGAGACACGGUCCAGACUCCUACGGGAGGCAGCAGUAGGGAAUCUUCCGCAAUGGGCGAAAGCCUGACGGAGCAACGCCGCGUGAGUGAUGAAGGUCUUCGGAUCGUAAAACUCUGUUAUUAGGGAAGAACAUAUGUGUAAGUAACUGUGCACAUCUUGACGGUACCUAAUCAGAAAGCCACGGCUAACUACGUG